CCAAUAUAAUGAAGCCAGAAGAGCCUACAGGCUGGCUGGUCUGCUUUCAGGAGUUGCAUGGUGCUAUUUGUUCCUCAAAUAUUUAUUCUCUUCUGCUUAUCUUGGACUGCCUGGACUGGAUUUUGGCUUCUUUCUGGAUCCUAUUGUAGAUUAUUUUACUGAUUUAUGACCAUGGCAGACCCUGCUUAGCAGAGGGACAAGCUCACUACCGGAAGACCAACUCUCACAGCGCCUCCUACAAUUCAAGAUGUGAUGCAGAAGCUCACCAUUCUUCCACUUCAUUUGCAGGGAAGACCCACCCUCUUCUCUGGUCCUGCAAAGAGCCAUCAAAUUUCUGGACCACCCUGAGCUAUUCUGUAAGGGCGGUCUAGAAAUCAAACUAAGUUGAGAUAGAGAAUUUCCCCUCAUUUUGUCCUCACAACAACCCUAUGAGUUACGGCUAUAGUUGCACAAAAGGAAAUUGCUUUGCUUUGCAAUAAGGGUAAUUUCAUUACCAUUGGUCGCUCACUUGUAGCUUACCAUCAAGGUGAGAGCAGACACUCCACAAAGGCUGCUACACCUUCAGGACAGAAGCAAGAUGUUCACAGCAGUCAAGUAUGAUAUACUUGAGGCGAGAAUACAGACAAAAUGUGCUGCUCUUUCUUGAACUACUGGUCGUUGCAAGUGAUAAAAUGUAUCAUUUGAAUGCAAGUGUAAUCUUUCAAGCUGACCCUAAGCAAAUGUGAACAUUUUAUGACUAUUGACAUUUAACCCAGAGGAAUUAAUGUAACAUAAAAUAUGUUAUUUUCACAAAUCUUCCUUAAAGAAUCCAAGUACUUUCAGGGUCUUCCAAGGAUACCUUUUUCAAAUGUGGAAAAGUUUCUUGUGCUUAUUAAAUAGACU